rnacentral:rRNA from 1 species
GCCUACGGGACGCAGCAGUGGGGGAUAUUGCACAAUGGGGGAAACCCUGAUGCAGCGACGCCGCGUGAGUGAAGAAGUAUUUCGGUACGUAAAGCUCUAUCAGCAGGGAAGAAAAUGACGGUACCUGAGUAAGAAGCCCCGGCUAACUACGUGCCAGCAGCCGCGGUAAUACGUAGGGGGCAAGCGUUAUCCGGAUUUACUGGGUGUAAAGGGAGCGUAGACGGCGAUGCAAGUCUGAAGUGAAAGGCGGGGGCCCAACCCCCGGACUGCUUUGGAAACUGUAUAGCUGGAGUGCAGGAGAGGUA